ensembl:lncRNA
AAAUUUUGAGUCAAUGAUAUAAAAGAAUAAUCUCUUACAGUCUCUCAAGAGUCCAUGUUUGGAAAAACACAGCUCUGACAGAGCUGGCCUGAUGAAGUGCUGAGAUCAAGGCUUGAAGUUUUAAAGCUCACGUUGGUGGAGAUGGUACAAUUUGGGGGCAGCUGAGUCUUCAGAUCUGCCAUCUGUUUUCCAUAUAUCUGCAAGAAAAACAUGAAAGAGACUACUGCUGGUCAAACCACAGAUGACAGAUGAGAACAAGACAGAAAUAUGCUGAGCAAUCCAAAAGAGGACAAGUUUCUUUCCUAAACACGGAAUGCAGUAAUGAUCCUGGAGAAAGCAAAGCAGUACAGUAGGUUGUUUGGAAAUGAUAUUCGGUAUGAUAUCAAAUUCUGAGCUGGGGAGAUAGAAGACCAUUGCCCGCUCUUCUGAGCUCAGCCAUUAAGGUAGUUUCAUCUUGUCUACCUUCUUGAAGAGAACUAGAGAUAUUCCAUGGUAGUUCCCCAUAUCACUUCACCUGGAAGCAGAGCUAUCACAUCUCAAGGGUUAUUAUCCACAGGCAUUUUCAGUCUCCUACUGAUUUGCUGCAGAGCAAUCUAUCAUGAACACGAGCUAUGAGGAAGGUGAAAAAGUAGGAUUGAAAGGGAGCGGAAGAAGUGACACUUAUUUUUCUGGAAAUGUUUCCUCACUGUAUUGCUGAAUAGCACCUACGUUUGUGGCAUGCAAAACAACGGCAAAGACCCAGAGAACAUGGUACAUGUGACCCAGCAUGUGGUGGGCAAGAUAUUUGCUGUUUAGAUGCCAUUGUGCUGCUACCUGUACAUUGAAAUCAAUAAACUACUUCAGCCCAGUACUCCAGGACAAUUACAGUAACCUGGAUACUCUGCCCCUGAUGAAGACAAAUGUAGGAUACCUGCAGACAGCAAAAUCUGCUCUGGGGCUGCUCUGCAUUCUAAUGGUUGAUUCUAAGUAACGCUUUUUCUGACCUUGAGCUCUGCAUUUAUUUUUGAAGAAGCUCAAGAAUCAGUUUCAAAUUAUUAGAGGGAUAGUUGUAAUCUCCAUUUUCUUCCAAGUGCAUUGCUUUCAAUUCCCAUCUGUCCUUCCAGACACCUCCUCUAUUAAAUGGUCACAGAAGAUGAAUAACAGUUGUGUGAACUCUUCAAAAUUGCAUUACAUGUUAUUCUGCUCCUUGUUAAUGUUCUAUGUUGUUUUAUUUACGAUAACCUUGUGAACAGUAAGAUGAAACGGCAUCCACAAGGCCUCUACAUCUAGCUGAAAAACUGCACAAGCGUGUCAUUAACAUCCAAUGAUGGGAAAAAGAACAAAAAAAGCAUGGAAAAAAGGAGAGAAAAUGCUUUCCAAAAUCCAGUCAGAAAUUUAAUAAAGGCUUUACU